rnacentral:rRNA from 1 species
GACGAACGCUGGCGGCGUGCUUAACACAUGCAAGUCGAACGGAAAGGCCCUGCUUUUGUGGGGUGCUCGAGUGGCGAACGGGUGAGUAACACGUGGGUAACCUGCCCUUGACUUUGGGAUAACUUCAGGAAACUGGGGCUAAUACCGGAUAGGAGCUCCUGCUGCAUGGUGGGGGUUGGAAAGUUUCGGCGGUUGGGGAUGGACUCGCGGCUUAUCAGCUUGUUGGUGGGGUAGUGGCUUACCAAGGCUUUGACGGGUAGCCGGCCUGAGAGGGUGACCGGCCACAUUGGGACUGAGAUACGGCCCAGACUCCUACGGGAGGUAGCAGUGGGGAAUAUUGCACAAUGGGCGGAAGCCUGAUGCAGCAACGCCGCGUGCGGGAUGACGGCCUUCGGGUUGUAAACCGCUUUCGCCUGUGACGAAGCGUGAGUGACGGUAAUGGGUAAAGAAGCACCGGCUAACUACGUG